CCACUUGAGUUCAUUCCCAAUUGUCCCUAGACAAUCGAGGUAUUUUAAAUACUUUUCAAAUGAAUCCUUUUUCAAAUGGCAACUCUCGCACAUCUUAUGCACAUCUCUGAUCUACCACAUUGUAUCCCCUCCAUCCUCCAAUCCUUGAUCAAAUGGAUGAUCAUUUGAUACUCCCAAAUCACUCCCAAUUGAAGAGCAACUUAUAUUUCAUCAUACCUAUCCCACUCCUCUAUUCUUUUCCAUCACCACCAUCAUCUCUUGGUCAAAUUGACAAUUUGAUCAAAGUACUUUAUUCUUCAACAUAGGCACCAAUGUUUAUUAUCACCUCUCUCCCAAAUUUUAAUACAUCAUCAAACCAUCUUUAGCUAACCCUUCCAACACUCAAUCUUGGUCGACAUUCAUGAAGUGGCAUUGCACUUUGCUUGUCCACUUGUGAUUGUCAAGAAGGAGCCGACCAUGGCCAGAUUUUCGGCCAGCCCUCCCUACUCACUUCCUCCUCUUACAAGUCUUAACUCCCACCUAACCCAACAAUUAAAUGGGCAGCCACCCACCUCCACCAAUCAAAGAGGAGGCAGCCAACCCUCUCCCUCUAUAAAUAGAGCUUGGCCGGCCACCUCCUCCCCAUUUGCUCAUUUUCUACACUCUCCACUCCUUCCUCCACUCCCCCACACUCCUCUCCUACCUCUUCCCCACGAGCUGAAGCUCCCCCAAGGCUCCAUGGCCGGCCAUGGCCAUGGGAUCACACCAAACCGCAGCUCUCCUUCUCUCUCAAGCUCCUCCUCCCCAUGAGAGCAUUCCUCUCACUCUCUUCUCCCCCAACCCUAGCUGGUUUCCUCUCCUCUUCUUCUUCCUCCAUUGCUAAGAUUGGAUCUUGAUGCAGGUGCAUGUUGGUCCAAGCAUGGAGAAGGUUGAGCAAUCCUCAGAUCUGAAGCUCUUGACCAAAAUCCAAAUCCAGUGAUUCAAAGUUCCGCAGAUAGGUAUUGAAAAGAUCUACAAUUUGGCGUUGGUCUCAUCCUCAAAUUCGUUACGGAUUUUGCAUGAUCAAGAUCUGGUCAGAUCU